rnacentral:rRNA from 1 species
UGGGGAAUAUUGCACAAUGGGGGAAACCCUGAUGCAGCGACGCCGCGUGGAGGAAGAAGGUCUUCGGAUUGUAAACUCCUGUUGUUGGGGAAGAUAAUGACGGUACCCAACAAGGAAGUGACGGCUAACUACGUGCCAGUAGCCGCGGUAAAACGUAGGUCACAAGCGUUGUCCGGAAUUACUGGGUGUAAAGGGAGCGCAGGCGGGAAGACAAGUUGGAAGUGAAAUCUAUGGGCUCAACCCAUAAACUGCUUUCAAAACUGUUUUUCUUGAGUAGUGCAAAGGUAGGCGGAAUUCCCGGUGUAGCGGUGGAAUGCGUAGAUAUCGGGAGGAACACCAGUGGCGAAGGCGGCCUACUGGGCACCAACUGACGCUGAGGCUCGAAAGUGUGGGUAGCAAACAGGAUUAGAUACCCUGGUAGUCCACACCGUAAACGAUGAUUACUAGGUGUUGGAGGAUUGACCCCUUCAGUGCCGCAGUUAACACAAUAAGUAAUCCACCUGGGGAGUACGACCGCAAGGUUGAAACUCAAAGGAAUUGACGGGGGCCCGCACAAGCAGUGGAGUAUGUGGUUUAAUUCGACGCAACGCGAAGAACCUUACCAAGUCUUGACAUCCCUUGACAGGCAUAGAAAUGUGUUUUCUCUUCGGAGCAAGGAGACAGGUGGUGCAUGGUUGUCGUCAGCUCGUGUCGUGAGAUGUUGGGUUAAGUCCCGCAACGAGCGCAACCCUUAUGGUCAGUUACUACGCAAGAGGACUCUGGCCAGACUGCCGUUGACAAAACGGAGGAAGGUGGGGAUGACGUCAAAUCAUCAUGCCCUUUAUGACUUGGGCUACACACGUACUACAAUGGCGUUAAACAAAGAGAAGCAAGACCGCGAGGUGGAGCAAAACUCAGAAACAACGUCCCAGUUCGGACUGCAGGCUGCAACUCGCCUGCACGAAGUCGGAAUUGCUAGUAAUCGCAGAUCAGCAUGCUGCGGUGAAUACGUUCCC